rnacentral:tRNA from 1 species
GCGGGAUUAGUUCACCGGUAGAACGCCACUUUUCCAAAGUGGAUGUAAGGGGUCCAAUUCCCCUAUCCCGCU